UGCUGCAUCCUGCCUACGAACCUGUCAUGGAAACCUGCAUGGCGCCACCGGCAUACAGAUCAGAGCCUGCCCGGACCUGCUCUACUGUGGCUGGGCUGAGUAUGCUGUGACGGUGAUCAGGAUUGAGGAUGAGGGCAGAGGAGGAGAGCUGCAGUAAACAAGGACAGAAAGAGAAAAAGAGAUUAGCACCAGCUAAUAAUCCCCUCUUUCAACACGUGCCGCUUCAUAUUUCCAAAUUAAAGUCGAGUGCAAGAAAAGGGGGCUUAUUAAACAUUAAACGUCCUCUGGCUGUGUCGAGCCGAACACAUCCCUCCCCUCCCGGCGCUGCCCCAGAGGCUUACAGAGCACUGUGCAGUGCUGGGCUUGCAGAGCUGGAGUAAACUAAAGUCAUACAUCACCCAGCUGAUCAGGCCUUGGGAGAGGGGCCCGGGCCAAUCAUUUUGAGAUAAAAGGAGGAUGCUAUUUGGGAGAGAGGGAGCAGGUCUUCCAGGGGCGAGACAUCAGAGGUCAUUUGCUCAUUGGGUAAAAGAGACGGGACACAGCAAUGACUCACAUGCUGAAAUAAGCAUUGGAGUUGUCCGUCUGGUGAUACUGGAGAGCUUCUACCAGAUGGUUGAGAUGUUUGAAUAACUUCUGAGAUGAAAAAAAACACAUUUGUCCUACGUUUACAGUAAAAAGCCCGCGCUACAUAACGUAGCGUCUGUAACCAACGCAGACGGCUGAGGGUUAAAUGGAGCUCAGUUUGUUUAUUUGAAGA